rnacentral:rRNA from 1 species
GGUGCUGCAUGGCUGUCGUCAGCUCGUGUCGUGAGAUGUUGGGUUUAAGUCCCGCAACGAGCGCAACCCUCGUCCUUAGUUGCCAUCAUUCAGUUGGGCACUCUAAGGAAACUGCCGGUGAUAAGCCGGAGGAAGGUGGGGAUGACGUCAAGUCCUCAUGGCCCUUACACGCUGGGCUACACACGUGCUACAAUGGCGGUGACAGUGGGCAGCAACCGGGCGACCGGUAGCUAAUCUCCAAAAACCGUCUCAGUUCGGAUUGUUCUCUGCAACUCGAGAGCAUGAAGGCGGAAUCGCUAGUAAUCGCGGAUCAGCAUGCCGCGGUGAAUACGUUCCCAGGCCUU